rnacentral:tRNA from 1 species
GGGCGUGUAGCUCAGGGGUUAGAGCAGUUGACUUAUAAUCAACAGGCCGAUGGUUCAAAUCCAUCCACGCCCA